GUGGCUGUCUGCUACUACAUCCACAGUUACUACAGCUUCUGGCUAACUAGGUGUAGGAAAUCAAGUAAAAUGUCAGAUGUAGUGAUUUUCUAUUCUUUAUUGUUUCAAAUCAUUUACAUUAUAAGAGUGGCCAGCAUCAAGUCCAGGCAUAUCCCUAUGGACAAGAACCAGCAUCACUUCCUACUUUACUACGACUGUACCAUACAAAUGAAAUAAAUAGCAGCAUUACUGUCA